rnacentral:rRNA from 1 species
UAGGGAAUUUUCGUCAAUGGGCGCAAGCCUGAACGAGCGAUGCCGCGUGAGUGAAGAAGGCCUGGUCGUAAAGCUCUGUUGCGGGGGAAAAAACGGGACAGCAUCAGGAAAUGGGUGCUGACUGAUGGUGCCCCGCCAGAAAGUCACGGCUAACUACGUGCCAGCAGCGCGGUAAUC